CGGCGUCGUCGUCCGCCCGGACCACCGCCACCGCCCUCCGCCCAGACCACCACAGCCACCUCCGCCUCCCUCCUCGGCCACCUCCGCCCCCGUCUGUCCCAUCCACCUUCUCCAUCGCUGCCCUUCGCCCCGACCACCUGCCCUCCGUCGCGACCUUCCUUAUGCUCCGCGUGACCUUCUCUCCCCUACAGCGCGGCCUGCCCUCCCUCCGGCACGCCCUCCUCCAGUGCGCCUGCUCUCUGCGCUCUGCUCCGGCGUGACCUUCUCUCCCCUACGGCGCGGCCUGCCCUUCCUCCGGCACGCCCUCCUCCAGCGCGCCUGCUCUCUGCGCUCUGCUCCGGCGCGCUCUUCGCCACUGCACUGGUGUUGGCUUCUCGCGGAUCAAUUCGAGCGCGUGGGGAAGUUCACCCGCUGCAGCCGCAGCCCCAUGCCUCCCAGUUCAAAAAGUUUUGCUUCGCCCCCGGAUGAAGUUCAGUUGUUGCUGAAGCUUAUGUUGUUCACCAUCGCGUGGCUGCAGAGCAUCCAUGCAGGUCGAGUAAUUUUCUAAUGCCAGCUCAAUUACAAUAGCAGCUCCAGCGCAGCCGUCGGCGAUGGUGAAAACUGAAGUCUGAAACGAGUGUUGUUGGCUACAUCCGGCAAAAGAUAUUCUGAAGUUUGUUGACGAACAAAAAUUGCUACAACCUACAACAUCAGUUGGUUCCAUUGCGGCCGUGCGGCAAGCAGCAUUCAACACAAUCCUAAACCAACCCGUGGAGGUGGAGAGGUUGUUUUUUGGUUGAUUGGUUUUCACAUUUCUUAUGCGUGGAAAAUCAAGAACUGAUGCGUUCCUCUGUUUGUAUGCUCAUGCCCUGGGGGCUGAGGAUGAAAAGUACCUCCUAGUUGGGCUAUGUGGCAGAGAUAUAUAUAGACAUUUAGGCUUUUAUUGAUUUUAAUAAAAAAUGCAUUUUUCUGUUGGUGCA